rnacentral:rRNA from 1 species
CCUACGGGAGGCAGCAGUGGGAAUAUUGCACAAUGGGCGCAAGCCUGAUGCAGCCAUGCCGCGUGUAUGAAGAAGGCCUUCGGGUUGUAAAGUACUUUCAGCGAGGAGGAAGGCAUUAAGGUUAAUAACCUURGUGAUGUGACGUGACUCGCAGAAGAAGCACCGGCUAACUCCGUGCCAGCAGCCGCGGUAAU